rnacentral:rRNA from 1 species
UACGAAGGGGGGCGAGCGUUGUUCGGAUUUACUGGGCGUAAAGGGCGCGUAGGCGGCGGGCCAAGUCGAGUGUGAAAGCCCCGGGCUCAACCUGGGAGGUGCGCUCGAGACUGGUUUGCUGGAGUUCGGGAGAGGAGCGUGGAAUUCCCAGUGUAGAGGUGAAAUUCGUAGAUAUUGGGAAGAACACCGGUGGCGAAGGCGGGUCUCUGGACAGUUCCUGACGCUGAGGCACGAAGGCCAGGGGAGCAAACGGG